GAAUUCACUAGUGAUUAGAGUUUGAUCAUGGCUCAGGACGAACGCUGGCGGCGUGCUUAACACAUGCAAGUCGAACGGUGACCCAUCAGCUUGCUGGUGGUGAUCAGUGGCGAACGGGUGAGUAACACGUGAGUAACCUGCCCCAGACUCUGGAAUAACCCCGGGAAACCGGAGCUAAUACCGGAUAUGACACCAACCUGCAUGGGUAUGGGUGUGGAAAGUUUUUCGGUCUGGGAUGGACUCGCGGCCUAUCAGCUUGUUGGUGAGGUAAUGGCUCACCAAGGCGACGACGGGUAACCGGCCUGAGAGGGCGACCGGCCUCACUGGGACUGAGACACGGNCCAGACUUCUACGGGAGGCAGCAGUGGGGGAAUAUUGCACAAUGGGCCAAAGCCUGAUGCAGCGACGCCGCGUGAAGGGAUGACGGCUUUGGGGUUGUAAACCUNUUUCACAGGGGAANAAGCNCAGUGACNGUACCUGCAGAAGAACANCCGGNUACUUCGUNCCACAGCCGNGGAAUACUAAGGUGCANCGGUUUCCCGAAUAUUGGGCGUAAAAACNUNAGCGGUUGUNANC
rnacentral:rRNA from 1 species